UCAAAGUAUCAAGCUUGGCUUGUCGUUGGGCCCUUUGCCACCUGGUGACAGGUCCAAAAGAUAGUGACCGGUGUCAUAAAGACUCUAUAUGCAACGAGCUUAUAACAGCACGCAUCUAGUAGUUAUAUGGCCCGGUUGUCGCCCCCUUAUUUAUCAA
rnacentral:misc_RNA from 1 species